GCCCCUGAAGAGGGGGCGAAAACCCAGGGGCCCGACGGCGGCGUCGGGGGGAUUGGGGGCAAAGCCCCCGGAAUGAACCCCGCCCUCCUCCCCUGGGUAUA
rfam:Pyrococcus furiosus DSM 3638, complete genome.